rnacentral:tRNA from 1 species
GGAUUGUGGCUCAGUGGCAGAGCACUUGCCUAGCAUGUGUGAGGCACUGGGUUCUAUUCUCAACACCA